GAUGAAGAACGAAGCGAAAUGCGAUAAGUAAUGUGAAUUGCAGAAUUCAGUGAAUCAUCGAAUCUUUGAACGCACCUUGCGCUCUUUGGUAUUCCGAAGAGCAUGCCUGUUUGAGUGUCAUGAAAAUAUCAACCUUGACUUGAGUUUUGUGCUCUAGUCUCGGCUUGGAAUUGGGUGCUUGCCGCUUUUACGAGCGGCUCACCUUAAAUGUAUUAGCUGGAUCUGUCUUUGAGACUUGGUUUGACUUGGCGUAAUAAGUAUUUCGCUAAGGACAUUCUUCGGAGUGGCCUCGUUUCUAGGACGCUUGUCCGCUUUCCAAUACAAGUUCCACCUCGUGGACAUGACUUUUUAUUAUCUGGCCUCAAAUCAGGUAGGACUACCCGCUGAACUUAAGCAUAUCAAUAAGCGGAGGA
rnacentral:misc_RNA from 1 species